rnacentral:pre_miRNA from 4 species
UCUUAAGGAUGAGCAAAGAAAGUGGUUUCUUGAGAUGGAAUCUACUCCUGGUGAAGAUGCUGUGAA